AUUGAACGCUGGCGGCAUGCCUAACACAUGCAAGUCGAACGAGUGGCGGACGGGUGAGUAAUGUUUGGGUAACUGCCCGAUGGAGGGGGAUAACUACUGGAAACGGUAGCUAAUAACGCAUACCAUCGGAUGUGGGCAGAUGGGAGUAGCUUGUAGGUGUGGUAACGGCUUACCUAGGCGACGAGGCCUAGCUGGUCUGAGAGGAUGACCAGCACAAUUUGGACUGAGCCACGGGCCAGACGCCGCCGGGAGGCAGCGGUGGUGAAUAUUCGUCAAGGGGCGCAAGCCUGAUGCAGCCUCGCCGCGUGGAUGAAGAAGGCUUUCGGGUUGUAAAGUACGUUCCGCGGGGAGGCGUUACCCGCAGAAGAAGCACCGGCUAACUCCGGGCCAGCAGCCGCGGUAAUAC
rnacentral:rRNA from 1 species